rnacentral:rRNA from 1 species
GACGUAGGAGGCGAGCGUUGUCCGGAGUUACUGGGCGUAAAGGGUGCGCAGGCGGUGGCCUAAGUUUGCGGUGAAAGCUCCCGGCUUACCUGGGAGAGGGCCGUGAAGACUGGGGCACUUGAGGUGUGGAGAGGGACGUGGAAUUCCGGGUGGAGCGGUGAAAUGCAUAGAGAUCCGGAAGAACACCAACGGCGAAGGCAGCGUCCUGGCCACGACCUGACGCUCAGGCACGAAAGCGCGGGGAGCGAACAGG